rnacentral:rRNA from 1 species
UCAUAUGCUUGUCUCAAAGAUUAAGCCAUGCAUGUCUGGGUAUAAGCAAUUAUACAGCGAAACUGCGAAUGGCUCAUUAUAUAAGUUAUCGUUUAUUUGAUAGUACCUUACUACUUGGAUAACCGUGGUAAUUCUAGAGCUAAUACAUGCUGCCAACCCCGACUCCGGAAGGGGCGUAUUUAUUAGAUCCAAAGCCAACGCCCUCCUGGGGCUCCUUGGUGAUUCAUGAUAACUCUUCGAAUCGCACGGCCUUGCGCCGGCGAUGGUUCAUUCAAAUUUCUUCCCUAUCAACUUUCGAUGUUUGGGUAUUGGCCAAACAUGGUCGCAACGGGUAACGGAGGGUUAGGGCUCGACCCCGGAGAAGGAGCCUGAGAAACGGCUACUACAUCCAAGGAAGGCAGCAGGCGCGCAAAUUACCCAAUCCCGACACGGGGAGGUAGUGACAAUAAAUACUGAUACAGGGCUCUUUAGGGUCUUGUAAUUGGAAUGAGUACAGUUUAAACCCCUUAGCGAGGAACAAUUGGAGGGCAAGUCUGGUGCCAGCAGCCGCGGUAAUUCCAGCUCCAAUAGCGUAUAUUAAAGUUGUUGUGGUUAAAAAGCUCGUAGUUGAACCUUGGGCCUGGCUGGCCGGUCCGCCUCACCGCGUGCACUGGUCCGGCCGGGCCUUUCCCUCUGCGGAACCACAUGCCCUUCGCUGGGCGUGGCGGGGAGGCAGGACGUUUACUUUGAAAAAAUUAGAGUGCUCAAGGCAGGCCUAUGCUCGGAUACAUUAGCAUGGAAUAAUGAAACAGGACGCGCGGUUCCGUUUCGUUGGCUCUAGGGACCGCCGUAAUGAUCGAUAGGGACAGUCGGGGGCAUCAGUAUUCAGCUGUCAGAGGUGAAAUUCUUGGAUUUGCUGAAGACUAACUACUGCGAAAGCAUUUGCCAAGGAUGUUUUCAUUAAUCAGGAACGAAAGUUAGGGGAUCGAAGACGAUCAGAUACCGUCGUAGUCCUAACCAUAAACUAUGCCGACUAGGGAUCGGACGAUGUUGUCUCUUGACGCGUUCGGCACCUUGCGAGAAAUCAAAGUGCUUGGGCUCCAGGGGGA